AGGGGAGGCUGGAGAUAGUCAACGGGGGAGAACAGGUAUCUCCGACUUAUUUAGUCAUUGUAUUAGCUUGGGCUGCUCUGACAAAAUAUCAUAGACUCAGUGGCUUAGACAACGGAAAUUCAUUUCUGACGGUUCUGAAGGCUGCAGCCCCGAGAGCAGGGUGCCAGCGUAGUUGGUUUCUGGCGAGAGCUCUCUUCCUGGCUGGUAGACAGCCACCUUGCUGCUAGGUCCCUUUCGACACAGCCUUUCUUCUGUUUGCACUUGGGCAGGUGGGGCGAUGGAGAGCGAGGCUCUCCAGUGUCUUUUCCUUUAAGGUACUAGUCCUAUCAGAUCAGGGCCAUCUUAUGACUUCAUUUCUUACUUCCUUAGAGCCCCAUCUCCAAAAUCAGCCUGACUGGGAGUUAGGGCUUCAACCCAGGCGUUUUAGGGAGGUACUCAUUCAGUCCAUCGCACACACUCUUGCUGUGUUUCAUUGAAGCAUCUCAACGAUAUUGUCAGGGAGAGAUUGGUGUUUCUGUAUGAUGGGGUGGGGGGUGGAACUGAGGUUCAUGGAUCAAGCACCUCACCCAGCUGGGCGUCAGAGUCAGGAAUCAAAGCCAGGUGGGUCUGGCUCUGAAGUCCAUGCUGAUUCCACUGCCCUACGCUGCCCUGGAAGCUCUAGAGCUGAGGCUCUGGCUCUCCCCUGCAUAUGCUGCUGUCUCCACCACCGCCCGCCCCCUGCCUUCCACUGAAGGGCAGCCUCAGCGUUCACAGCCUCUUUACAGCAGCAUCCGGUCUUCAGCCCUCAAGAACCCCAGAUACACUCAUGGCUCUCAGGCAUCACUUCCCAGCGAGUAUUUUGUACUUCUUACUCCAUCACAGUGUGUGCUUCCUGAAGGACAAACGCUGGCACAGGAGGUCCUUUUAGGAAAAGCCAUCCCCUGAGCCUGAGGGUGAAGAGAGGGAAUGGUUGCUUUAUAUAUUUGUCUACUGAAUGGUGAAUGCAGAAUCCAGAUUGACCGCUGUCCUGCGUCCUCAAGGCCAGGUCUAACAAGGAAUAAGAGAAGCUACCAGUGGCGACGUUAGAAGAGACCUCAAAUUGGGAAAAGGAAUAUACCCUGCAAGGGCAGGGAUACAAAACAAAUACAGUCUAGCCAUCACAUUUGUGUUCCAGGUAGCAGGAGGGAGGAAGGAGAGAUGAGGAGUCGAGAUUUCUCACCAAUCGAGGAAACAGCCCCGAGAUUUCUUACCAGUUUGACCAACAGUUCCAUGGUUACCAAGAGCGAGAACUCCAGGAAGCUCUCCGCCAACUCCUGGAGGGCUGCCCUUAGUGGCGAAGGCCUUAAAUGCACCCCAGAGAACAGCCAUUUACUCUACAGCCAGGGGUGAUUCCCAGCUGAUACAGGAGCAUGUCUGGAAAGUGGUAAAUAAAUGGUGGUGGUGGAGAGAGUUGUGUCCCAGGAGAGAGGUGAGAAGACACGGCCAUUGGUGGUAGGAGAGCGAAUUUUCCAGACUGGAGUUAGGGGUGGGAGUCAAACCUGGGGUCAGUAAAAAUGUUAUCAGUGAUGUGCUUCUCUGUGAAGGUAAGAUGUCAGCAUGGUAUUCAUUCAUUCAAACAUUUGAGUGCUUACUGGAGCUGGGCAUUGGGGAUAUCAAGAUAGUCAGAAAGCAUGAUCCAUGCCCUUGUGAAAUGUAUGGUGCAGGAGGAGAUUCAGACACGAAACAGUUUCACAAGUUAGUGAGGAGGGUUUGGAUUGUGAAGGGCAAGUACAGAGUCUCGUGAGAGCUUAUAUUGGUGGGCUUUGAGCGAGCUCAAUAGGAAACACCUCUCUUUUCCCCACCCGAGAUUAGAACCAAGACACGGGAGUCAGGCAGAUAAGCGUCAAAAUGAUAGCUCUUUUACUGACCUACUAAUUGACUUGCUAACACCAACCAGUUUUACCAUUUCAGGGAAAGGCCUUUCUAGGUGAACUUGAGCUUGAGACUUGAGAGAUAAGUAGGCAUUAGCCAGAUAUAUGGGAUGAGGAGAGAUGGAGAGGGAAAUUUCUAGUUAGUGGAAACAGCCUCAAGAUGGGAAGAAGCAGAGUAUGUUCAGGGAACUGUGAGAAUGUUGGAAUAGUUGAAGCACAGGGAGGGAGGGAAAACGGUUUGAGAUGAAGUUACAGAGGUAGUCUGGGGCUAGGUUAUAUUUUAUCCUAAGAGUAACUAAAAGAUAAUCAAGGUUUUAAGCAAAUACAUGGCCUUCAGCUUUGUGGCUUAAGAAGAUCAGUUUGUUGUAUGGGAAAUAGAUGGCAGUGCAGCAAGAAUGGACACAAGGGGUCCAGUUAGGAGGUUGUUGCAGUGGCCCGGGGAGAGGUGACAAUGACUCAAACGAGUGGGUUGCAGUGGGCUCACUGGGACUUGGUGAUUAUAUGGGAUUUGCAGAGGGGUGCUGUGGAUUAAGGAUGCUUCCUAGAUACCCGACUUGAGUGCCAUUUCCCAAGAGCAAGAAGACGGGAGGGAGAGGUAGAUUUGUUGAGAAAGAUGUCUGUUUUUUGAUAUUUUGAGUUGAGGCACUUGAAUGGGAUGUCAAACAGUUGGAUUUUGUUUUUGAAGCUGAGAGGAAAGUUCUGGGAUGGUGAUAGAUUGGAAAGUUAUUAUGAAUAAAGCUAUAGCAGUGAUGAUAUUGACCAGACAGAGUGUGGGGAGAAAUGAAAAGAGAACCUAAGACUGAUCCCCUAAAGGUCCUGCUGAAUCAGAAGGAGCUGGGAAAGGAGCCUGAGGAGGAGGAGGAGUAUUUGACGUGGAGAGUCUUGUCCGCUCUCUUAAUCUAUAGAAGGUGGACCUCAUACACAGUAGAGUAGAUUCUUGCCUCCACUGUGGGAGCCCGGUGCUGGCACAGUUCCUCUUGCUGCUACAGCUCUGCCAGUCCUGCAGGGCUCAGCAUCUCUGAAAGAAGGAACAAGGGAAACGCCAGGAGAGGCAGCUGUACUUAUUAUGGCAGGUCCUCAGGUGAGCUAGAAUCCUCUUACAUCUAACAUCCUUUUGUGAGUUGGUACUUCCCUUCUCUUCUGUUUUUCCCAGGAAUUCCUACCUGCCCUGUUGGGGCUCCUUGGAUUUUUUAAUUGUUCUAAAUACCAUUUCCAGUGUCUUUAUUUCCUCUGUCCCUUAAACACCUACCACAUGUAUGGAUAAUAGAGAUGUGGUUAUAUUCAAUCUCCUUAACAUUUGUCGGGCUGUGGUCCCUCUUCCCAUUUCUUUCCUGUUCUCCCUAGAUUUUUUAGGGCCAUAUUUGGAUCAUGCCAAGUCACUCCUGAGAGGCAGAUCUUAUGCUGUGCUCAGGUAAAACAAGCAGAGCUCAAGAGGAAGUUAGGUUCAUACCUCUUUUUGAAUCUCUUCAGAGACUUUGGGGGUUUUCUAUUUCAUACACAUCUCUGAUUCUGGCAGAGGCUAUGUAUUUAACUAUCCUUCCUUCCUUCCUUCCUUCCUUCCUUCCUUCCUUCCUUCCUUCCUUCCUUCCCUCCCUCCCUCCUUCCCUCCCUCCAAUAUUUGUCAAAAGUCAAGUCACUGAAUUUAGUUCUGUGGAUACAAAGAUGAAUAAGCAGUUCUGUCCUUUUCACUCAUACCAGGAUUAUUCUCUUUGCUUUUACAUGGUGCCAUAAUCUUGCUCUGCUUUUUGAUCAAAGAGCAGAGGAGAAAUUUUGCUUGUGCUCUGGUGUUCGAUUUUCUGAAACUUGAGGUGGAAACUCUCAGGCCACAAAUGGUCUUCAGUCUUUAUAUUCCUUGUGGAUAUUUUGAUGUAGGACAAGGCAAGAGGAGGAUUUAGCUCAAAGUCUACCACUCUGGGUUUGUGUUCUACUUCCCACUUCCCACACAGCCUCUCUGGAACGCUCACGAUAGGACUUCAGCUAAGGAAAAGAGUAGGCUUGUUACUUUUUCUUUCACCUACCUGUUACAAUAUAAUAAUGUUUGUCAAACAACUACAUUUUGUCUACUGUUUUGAAAUCAUAUCUCCUAGGACGUAAGGCUAGAAUGGCACAAUUCACUAUUCAUGGAAAUGCAUUUAUAGACAGUCAGCCAUAAGUCCCAUGCCAAUUUAUGUUGCGCAUUUAAAUACUAGUUUGAUCUACUUUUUUUCUUGUUUGGUUGGUGGAUUUGAGAGCAGACAAAAAUGCGCAGAUAAAGAUCUCAGAGGGAGAAAUGAAAUCCGAUUGUUCCAUCCUCAUUGGGAAAUGCUUUGUUGAUGAGCUGGGUGUGGAGGAGCAUGUUGGAUGAGUGGGAGCUGAAGAAAUCUCCCGUGUAGCCACUUACUCUCACUGCCUUGAGUGUUUCCUGGGUAAAGUUUGCUUGCAGGCUAGCAGUCUAUAGCCGCUGUUUUAGUUAUUCUUAACUAGGGUUCCCAUCAGAUACUGAAGCGUUUUUCCAGUCUCUACCCUGGAGGUUUUGAUUUGAGGGAAGUAUGUGUAUUUUGUGAAAGUUCUCUGUGGACUCCAGGAGCUCAACCUGAUCUACUGGUCUAAAAGAUCCUGGGCUAGAGGACACUGUUAAUUUCUCUCGGCUCCAAACUCAGAAAGGGAGAAGACUAUAAAUAUGGGACCCGAGGAGGAUUAGAGUAGGGUUAGUAAUGACUUACAAGCUUUUUCCUUUUGCCCCUUAUGACUAGACUCAGAAGCGACCCAUUUGUAUGGUCCAGGUUCUGUAUUGCCUUGAGCAUGGUUGAGAGGAAACUUAUAAAUAUGUUUUGCUGCUUUGUAUCUGAAAGGCAAACAUUGGGAUUGUUCCAGAGAUAUGGUUUUAAAUGAGUUUCCAGUUUGGUUUGCUUUUGCUUUGUUUUUGUUUUGCUUUGUUUGAUUUAAUUCUGCUGAAACCCUUGAGCUUCCCUAGUUUGGGGCAGGAAUAACUUGUUUUUUUCACAGAUAGAAAGUUUACUCUUCCAAAUGAUAUCCAUCCAUCCAUCCAUCCAACAAACAUUAUUGGAUACUCAUUGUUCUUUAAGUAGACUGGCAACUAUAUGGAAGGAAUUGCAGCUAGAGUUCCUUGUAGAUGGUAUAGGAACACACUUCUCAAAUUUGAGACAAUUGAAAUUGCAGGAAUACAGAGCAGGGUGCCAUGUGCAUCUUCUUGGCCAGAAGGUAUUUAUAUAAGAAAAACAGUUUAGUGUAUUCAAACUUUGUGCAAAAUUCCAAAGAUUUCAUAAGACGGUUGUGUAAGAAGUUUAUUUUUCCCAGCAGGACGCGUUCCUCUCUUUCCCCAGACCCUUCACAGAGCACAUGGACAUGUGCAUUUACAGUAUUUCAAAGGAAAACCCGGAGAAGCCCUGAACGGAGAGGGGGCGAUGGGGAGAGGGAGGGGAGAGGGACUGAGAUAUUUGACUUUUCAGACAAUUUUGUUGGAACUUCCUCCUCCCAGUAACUUUCACAUUAACAGGUUUUCAGAACCCCAAACACAGUGCUACUCCUUUCCUAGAACAAGGGGAAGGACCACGGCUCUGGGCGUCCCAGAGUUCCCAUGAGGGGGAACUCUCAACCAAGGUAACACAGGUGGCAGAUGGUCAGGGUAAUUCCAGUCAAGGAGUGAAGCCUUCAGAUCAACUCAGCUCAUAAACGUUCAAACAGAAACUCUCCCAGUAUUUACAUAACUUCUGGUCCUAUGAUCUGGGGACCCAAGUCUUUGUCUGUAAAGUAUGAUGAAUUUAGAUAUCUAUUUUUUCAUAUCUUUUGAUUGAUGUGCUGUCCUUAUCUUAUACCACAGGCAAACAAUUUUCUACUUGAAUUAUAGACAAAAUGAUCCCCUUGCCUUGAACUUUAUUCAUUUGUAGUUAGGGAAACUUGGCCAGGGGCAAAGAAGACUGGAUCUGAGCCCUGUCUGUGAGUCCUUGGCCUGACCCCUGAUAAAUCAGUAUAAAUGACCUGCUCUGUGUAUGGCAUGCCUUAGCUCCCGGUUCCAGUCAGCUCCAGAAGUUGAGUUUACCUCUGGCUGCCGAAAUUUCUGUCAUAGGCAGUCAGGGAAGCUGGUCAAAUGAGAGUGAAUGUGUACAUUACAGUAAUAAAAAUUUAUAUGUAAACACUCAUUUCAGAAGACUUUGGGAGGCUGCUUUCAGGGGUAGAUAAAUUUGAUAAACUUUGGUGCAUUCAGUUGACUAAAGUUUGGAGGGAUCUAUAAUAUUCUCUUUGUUCUUUUUAAGCACUUGCAGAUGUCUUUUUAAAAAAACCUCCAUAGACCCUUAGCUGUCUUUGUGUCUCUAAAGAUUUGCAUUUCUUGGGGUUCCCGUUGUGGCUCAGCGGUAAUGAACCCGACUAGUAUCCAUGAGGAUGCAGGUUCAAUCCAUGGACUUGCUCAGUGGGUUAAGGAUCUAGCAUUGCCGUGAGCUGUGGUGUAGGUCCCAGAUGUGGCUUGGAUCCCAUAUUGCUGUGGCUGUGGAGUAGGCUGGAGCUACAGCUCUGAUUCGAUCCCUAGCCUGGAACCUCCAUAUGCUGUGUAGGCAGCCCUAAAAUCCAAAAAAAAUAUUUCUAUUUCUUAUGUUCUUGAUUUAGAAAGCAAAUAUGCCUGAGAAAGUGUCUUUAAAGAUAAUUUCAGUUUUAGUUAACUUUUACAUAGCUAUGUGCCAUUUAUUUUUCCAAGUGCUGGGAAUGUAACAGAAAAACAACAUGGUUCCUGUUCUCGUGAGCUUACAGUUUUUUGGGGAUGAAAGAUAUUAAUUGAAGGUUUACAACAGGAAAAAGCCCAAAUUGUCUAAGGUGGAAUGUUUCAUCCAAGACUAAUUAGUGGUCAUUUGAAUUGCUUGGCCUGAUCCCUUCUCUCAGCUUGUCCCCGAUCCCUGGGUUUAGAACCAGAGCUCUGGGAAAGUUAUGUGCAAUAAGCCAUAUCCUUUGUCUUUACCCAUUUGCAGGUAUCUCAUUCUCAAAACCUGCACUUCUUUCUAGUCUGGAACAGUGGAGAAUGCUGGGUCUCAAGACAGGUGAUGCCUUCAAGGAAAAUGCACCCAGGUGAGGGUUUGAAGAACAAACAACUAGAGAAUGAACUAAUAGAUUUCUGAUUUUCAAGAUGUGGUAAAUUAGGUAAAUUAAAUCCUAGCCAAAGGCCUUGAGGCUUUCUUUUUAUUAUUAUUAUUUAGUUUUUAAAAAGAUUUUUAUUUUUUCUAUUAUAGUUGAUUUAAAAUGUUCUGUCAAUAUCUGCUGUACAGCAAAGUGACCCAGCCAUAUAUGUAUAAAGAAUAUAUAUACUCUUUUUCUUACAUUAUCCUCCAUCAUGUUCCAUCACAAAUGACUAGAUGUAGUUCCCUGUGCUAUACAGUGGAUCUCAUUGCUUAUCCACUGCAAAUGCAAUAGUUUGCAUCUGCUAACCCCAAACUCCCAGUUAAUUCCACUCCCUCCCCCUUGGCAACCACAAGUCUAUGUGAGUCUGUUUCUUUUCCGUAGAUAGGUUCAUUUGUGCCAUAUGUUAGAUUCCAGAUAUAAGAAUCAUAUGGUAUUUGUCUUUCUCUUUCUGACUUACUUCACUUAGUAUGAGAGUCUCCAGUUCCAUCCACAUUAUUUUAUUCUUUUUUAUGGCUGAGUAGUAUUCCAUCGUGUAUACAUUUACCACAUCUUCUUAAUCCAUUCAUUUAUUGAUGGACAUUAGGUUGUUUGAGGUCUCGACUAUUGUGAAUGGUGCUGCAAUGAACAUAGGGGAUGCAUGUAUCUCUUUCAAUGAAAGUUUUGGAUAUAUGCCAAAUCUGGAAUAUAUGCCCAGGAGUAGGCUUGCUGGGUCAUAUGAUAGUUCUGUAUUUAGUUUUCUGAGGUAUCUCCAUACUGUUUUCCAUAGCCUUGAGGCUUUCUGAUUGUGAUCUGCACCGAGUAGUUAGCCUUAGGAGAAUAGUAUAAAUGUUUGCUGCUUGGGUAUUUUAGAACGAAGCUUUGAUGAAACAGGAAUAGAGCUCUGAAGCUAAGGGCUACUUUAAAGUCUCUGGAGCCAGAAUCCUGGCUUUGAACUCCAGCUUUAACACCAAUUAACUGUGCUAUCCUGGUCAAGUUACUCAAAUUCUCUGUGCUUUAGUUCACUUAUAAAAGUAUGAUAAUAAUGUUAUCUGUGUCAUAGGAUUGUAAGGAUUAAAUAUGUUACCUAUUUUAUUGAUUUUUUCAAUGCAUGUUUUUCAUGUUUUACAUAUCUUUGAAAAUGGAAUGUUUCUUGAAGUUGAUGAAAGGUUACAAUCUUUGUCGGCCAGGUGGAAGUAGUGAUAAAGCAUUAUCUGUGCAUUUGCAAACAUCAAAAGCUUAACAAUCAGACAAAAAAAAAAAAAAAAAA
rnacentral:lncRNA from 1 species